UUUUGCAUGACUCAGUAAUGCACUACAACAUUGUUAUUGUCAAAUUGUGAUUCACAAUUAGCCUGUUCAUCACUAAAUGGAGCUAAAGUAAAUUCAAAAUAAAAGAUGAAUGAUAUAAAUAUAAGAAUAAAACCCCGAGAAGUAAAUGUAAGACUCCUACUGGUUAAGAGGGAGCAAGCCCCGCCCUCACCUGCUCUGUAGCGUCGCAUGUGCUUACACACACACACACACAGAGACGGAUGUGCGUGAGACCACUGUUGAUUUAAACUGUGAGUUAUUGCUGGAAAAAAAAACAACUAUAAACGUGAUAAAUUGAGCAAAUAUCCAUACCGGAAAUCUGCAAGGAUUUCGGAGGGACGAACUUGGGUGAACUUUUUGAACUUCGGAAUCAACGCGAUCUGCACGGGUGUGGAUGAAGCGGACAGGAUCUUCUCUAAGAGUGAACAUUUGAAGCGCGCUGGCUAGGUUUUUGUGGGACCGUGAGAUCUGGAUUUCUUCCUGACGAGGAAGAUGGCGAGCCUUUCUUUUUGAAUCGAACCGGAGCCAUUCCGAGUUGGCCCAGAAGGGCAGGUUGCUCUUCUUUCAUGAACAAUCACAACAGUGCGGUAGGACGAAAUCGCACCAAUCACAGACUUUUGACUUUUUGGAUUUUACUUGACUGAACACUGACUAUUACGCUGGCAAGACUGACAUAUCUGAGCUCAGAUAGGAUUGGGAAAUUACUAUUGCUGUUGUUUUUAUUUUAUAUUUCCAUUCCUGUUAGAAAGAGUUGUUUACUCAUUGUUAUACAUAUCAAUACAAUUCAAGACAAUUUUAUCUGUGACUCCAGUCAUUCUUCUCCAUGCAACUCACUUUAUCCCUCCUGCGAAUCUAGCUAUUGGCCCAUUUUCUCCAUUUUACCAUAACCUACCCUACCCUAUCCUGUAGCGG